GAUGAACGCUUGCGGCGUGCCUAAUACAUGCAAGUCGAGCGAACGGACGAGAAGCUUGCUUCUCUGAUGUUAGCGGCGGACGGGUGAGUAACACGUGGAUAACCUACCUAUAAGACUGGGAUAACUUCGGGAAACCGGAGCUAAUACCGGAUAAUAUUUUGAACCGCAUGGUUCAAAAGUGAAAGACGGUCUUGCUGUCACUUAUAGAUGGAUCCGCGCUGCAUUAGCUAGUUGGUAAGGUAACGGCUUACCAAGGCAACGAUGCAUAGCCGACCUGAGAGGGUGAUCGGCCACACUGGAACUGAGACACGGUCCAGACUCCUACGGGAGGCAGCAGUAGGGAAUCUUCCGCAAUGGGCGAAAGCCUGACGGAGCAACGCCGCGUGAGUGAUGAAGGUCUUCGGAUCGUAAAACUCUGUUUUUAGGGAAGAACAUAUGUGUAAGUAACUGUGCACAUCUUGACGGUACCUAAUCAGAAAGCCACGGCUAACUACGUGCCAGCAGCCGCGGUAAUACGUAGGUGGCAAGCGUUAUCCGGAAUUAUUGGGCGUAAAGCGCGCGUAGGCGGUUUUUUAAGUCUGAUGUGAAAGCCCACGGCUCAACCGUGGAGGGUCAUUGGAAACUGGAAAACUUGAGUGCAGAAGAGGAAAGUGGAAUUCCAUGUGUAGCGGUGAAAUGCGCAGAGAUAUGGAGGAACACCAGUGGCGAAGGCGACUUUCUGGUCUGUAACUGACGCUGAUGUGCGAAAGCGUGGGGAUCAAACAGGAUUAGAUACCCUGGUAGUCCACGCCGUAAACGAUGAGUGCUAAGUGUUAGGGGGUUUCCGCCCCUUAGUGCUGCAGCUAACGCAUUAAGCACUCCGCCUGGGGAGUACGACCGCAAGGUUGAAACUCAAAGGAAUUGACGGGGACCCGCACAAGCGGUGGAGCAUGUGGUUUAAUUCGAAGCAACGCGAAGAACCUUACCAAAUCUUGACAUCCUUUGACAACUCUAGAGAUAGAGCCUUCCCCUUCGGGGGACAAAGUGACAGGUGGUGCAUGGUUGUCGUCAGCUCGUGUCGUGAGAUGUUGGGUUAAGUCCCGCAACGAGCGCAACCCUUAAGCUUAGUUGCCAUCAUUAAGUUGGGCACUCUAAGUUGACUGCCGGUGACAAACCGGAGGAAGGUGGGGAUGACGUCAAAUCAUCAUGCCCCUUAUGAUUUGGGCUACACACGUGCUACAAUGGACAAUACAAAGGGCAGCGAAACCGCGAGGUCAAGCAAAUCCCAUAAAGUUGUUCUCAGUUCGGAUUGUAGUCUGCAACUCGACUACAUGAAGCUGGAAUCGCUAGUAACCGUAGACCAGCAUGCUACGGUGAGUACGUUCCCGGGUCU
rnacentral:rRNA from 1 species